CGACGGCAGCACGGGAGCAAUCCUGGUGGCGAGUGGCGAACGGGUGAGUAAUGUAUCGGAACGUACCUUUCAGUGGGGGAUAACGUAGCGAAAGUUACGCUAAUACCGCAUAUUCUGUGAGCAGGAAAGCAGGGGAUCGCAAGACCUUGCGCUGAUUGAGCGGCCGAUAUCAGAUUAGCUAGUUGGUGAGGUAAAGGCUCACCAAGGCGACGAUCUGUAGCGGGUCUGAGAGGAUGAUCCGCCACACUGGAACUGAGACACGGUCCAGACUCCUACGGGAGGCAGCAGUGGGGAAUUUUGGACAAUGGGGGCAACCCUGAUCCAGCCAUGCCGCGUGAGUGAAGAAGGCCUUCGGGUUGUAAAGCUCUUUCAGCCGGGAAGAAAUCACAUGGGUUAAUACCCUGUGUGGAUGACGGUACCGGAAUAAGAAGCACCGGCUAACUACGUGCCAGCAGCCGCGGUAAUACGUAGGGUGCGAGCGUUAAUCGGAAUUACUGGGCGUAAAGCGUGCGCAGGCGGUUUGUUAAGAUAGGCGUGAAAUCCCCGGGCUCAACCUGGGAACUGCGUUUAUGACUGGCAGGCUAGAGUAUGGCAGAGGGGGGUGGAAUUCCACGUGUAGCAGUGAAAUGCGUAGAGAUGUGGAGGAACACCGAUGGCGAAGGCAGCCCCCUGGGCCAAUACUGACGCUCAUGCA
rnacentral:rRNA from 1 species